UACGUAGGGGGCAAGCGUUGUCCGGAUUUACUGGGCGUAAAGGGCGCGUAGGCGGCCACCGCAAGUCGGUUUUGAAAUCUCUGGGCUUAACCCAGAAAGGUCAACCGAUACUGCGGGGCUAGAGUGCAGAAGGGGCAACUGGAAUUCUCGGUGUAGCGGUGAAAUGCGUAGAUAUCGAGAGGAACACCUGCGGCGAAGGCGGGUUGCUGGGCUGACACUGACGCUGAAGCGCGAAAGCUAGGGGAGCGAACGGG
rnacentral:rRNA from 1 species